rnacentral:rRNA from 1 species
AGAGUUUGAUCCUGGCUCAGAACGAACGCUGGCGGCGUGCUUAGCACAUGCAAGUCGAACGAGAAAGUCCCCGCAAGGGGAUAAGUAAAGUGGCGAACGGGUGAGUAACACGUAGGUAAUCUGCCCUUCAGCCUGGAAUAACUUCGCGAAAGCGGGGCUAAUACCAGAUGAUAUUCGGGAGGCACAUGCUUCCCGGAUCAAAGGUGGCCUCUGACUCAAGCUAUCACUGAAGGAUGAGCCUGCGGCUGAUUAGCUAGUUGGUAGGGUAACGGCCUACCAAGGCUACGAUCAGUAGCCGGCCUGAGAGGGUGAUCGGCCACACUGGAACUGAAACACGGUCCAGACUCCUACGGGAGGCAGCAGUGGGGAAUAUUGCGCAAUGGGCGAAAGCCUGACACAGCAACGCCGCGUGGGUGAUGAAGGCCUUCGGGUUGUAAAGCCCUGUCAGGUGGAACGAAUCUCUCUCGAGCGAAUACCUCGAGAGAAUGACGGUACCACCAGAGGAAGCCCCGGCAAACUACGUGCCAGCAGCCGCGGUAAUACGUAGGGGGCAAGCGUUGUUCGGAAUUACUGGGCGUAAAGAGCGCGUAGGCGGUUAGGUAAGUCAGGCGUGAAAUCCCUCAGCUCAACUGAGGUUCGGCGCUUGAAACUAUCUGACUUGAGUUUAGGAGAGGAGAGUGGAAUUCCCAGUGUAGCGGUGAAAUGCGUAGAUAUUGGGAGGAACACCGGUGGCGAAGGCGGCUCUCUGGACUAAUACUGACGCUGAGGCGCGAAAGCUAGGGGAGCAAACAGGAUUAGAUACCCUGGUAGUCCUAGCCGUAAACGAUGUGCACUAGGUGUGGGAGGUAUCGACCCCUUCCGUGCCGCAGCUAACGCAUUAAGUGCCCCGCCUGGGGAGUAUGGCCGCAAGGUUGAAACUCAAAGGAAUUGACGGGGGCCCGCACAAGCGGUGGAGCAUGUGGUUUAAUUCGACACAACGCGAAGAACCUUACCAGGGCUUGACAUCCUGCGAAUUUCGGCGAAAGCCGGAAGUGCCCGCAAGGGAGCGCAGAGACAGGUGGUGCAUGGCUGUCGUCAGCUCGUGUCGUGAGAUGUUGGGUUAAGUCCCGCAACGAGCGCAACCCUUACCCUUUGUUGCCAUCAGGUCACGCUGGGCACUCUAAGGGAACUGCCUCGGUUAACGGGGAGGAAGGUGGGGACGACGUCAAGUCAUCAUGCCCCUUACGCUCUGGGCUACACACGUGCUACAAUGGCCAAUACAAAGGGCUGCAAACCCGCAAGGGGGAGCCAAUCCCAAAAAGUUGGUCUCAGUUCGGAUUGUAGGCUGAAACCCGCCUGCAUGAAGUAGGAAUCGCUAGUAAUCGUGGAUCAGCAUGCCACGGUGAAUACGUUCCCGGGCCUUGUACACACCGCCCGUCACACCACGAAAGUUUGUUGUACUCGAAGUCGUUGAGCUAACCCGCAAGGGAGGCAGGCGCCUAAGGUAUGACAGGUGAUUGGGGUGAAGUCGUAACAAGGUA